rnacentral:rRNA from 1 species
CCUACGGGGGGCAGCAGUGGGGAAUAUUGGACAAUGGGGGCAACCCUGAUCCAGCCAUGCCGCGUGUGUGAAGAAGGCCCUCGGGUUGUAAAGCACUUUCAGUGAGGAAGAACGCCUGGUGGUUAAUACCCAUCAGGAAAGACAUCACUCACAGAAGAAGCACCGGCUAACUCCGUGCCAGCAGCCGCGGUAAUACGGAGGGUGCGAGCGUUAAUCGGAAUUACUGGGCGUAAAGCGCGCGUAGGUGGCUUGAUAAGCCGGUUGUGAAAGCCCCGGGCUCAACCUGGGAACGGCAUCCGGAACUGUCAAGCUAGAGUGCAGGAGAGGAAGGUAGAAUUCCCGGUGUAGCGGUGAAAUGCGUAGAGAUCGGGAGGAAUACCAGUGGCGAAGGCGGCCUUCUGGACUGACACUGACACUGAGGUGCGAAAGCGUGGGUAGCAAACAGGAUUAGAUACCCUUGUGGUC